GUCACGUGACCGCGGGCGCCGCGGGCGGGCCUGAGCGGAGUGGGUGGACGCGACGCGAAGGGGUGCGGGCCCCUGCUCGGGUGCGGCCCGUGGCCAAGACUCCCUGAGACCGCGGGCCCUGGGGCCUCGAGGAGCGGCGACCCGAGAGAAGUGCGGAGGUUCCCAAGUCCGUAGUGGCCUUUUCGGGCCGACCAUCGCUGUGGUGAGAAUCCCAGAGCCCCGCGACCACGGACCUCGGCCUUCUCUGCGUCACAGUCGGGCCCGUGGCCACCGUCGCGCGGCUCUCUGCUGCUUGCCCUCCGAGACAGUUACGUGGAAGGGGCGUGCGGCCCUGGAAGCUGGACUCCGCCCAGGAGACUCCGAAGGACCUUAGACGUCCCGGGGGUCCUCAGGCCCCCUGUCUGCUGCUGCUGCCUUUCACAGCUUCUGGGUGCUGAGCAUUCUGCUAGAAAUUUUGCUACUGAUUGGUUUUGGCGGACCUAUCUCAGCUCCGGGGAAGGGAAUUAGGUUCCUUGAUACUGUUCCUGUGAAGAUUCAAACCAGUUAUGUUUGAGUGUACCGUUUUCCUCUGUGGUGCCCUUGAUUCUUGAGGGAUAAUAAAACUGUGGCCGAGCGGGUA